rnacentral:rRNA from 1 species
CUAGGACGAACGCUGGCGGCGUGCUUAACACAUGCAAGUCGAACGGGAGUAUUGAAGAAGCUUGCUUUAGAGAUACUUAGUGGCGGACGGGUGAGUAACGCGUGAGGAGCUGUCCUAUGCAGGGGGACAACAGCUGGAAACGGCUGCUAAUACCCCAUAAGCCGAGAGGUAAAAGGAUCAAUCCGGCAGAGGAGGUACUCGCGUCCUAUCAGCUAGUAGGUGAGGUAACGGCUCACCUAGGCGAAGACGGGUAGCCGGCCUGAGAGGGCGAACGGCCACACUGGAACUGAGAUACGGUCCAGACUCCUACGGGAGGCAGCAGUGGGGAAUAUUGGGCAAUGGGGGAAACCCUGACCCAGCGACGCCGCGUGGGUGAAGAAAUCCUUCGGGAUGUAAAGCCCUGUUGUAUGGGAAGAGCGGAAGACGGUACCAUACGAGGAAGCCCCGGCAAACUACGUGCCAGCAGCCGC